rnacentral:rRNA from 1 species
GACGUAGGGGGCCAGCGUUGUUCGGAAUUACUGGGUGUAAAGGGUUCGUAGGCGGUGUGGCAAGUCGGGAGUGAAAUCUCUGGGCCCAACUCAGAGACUGCUUCCGAAACUGCUGUGCUGGAGUGUGGGAGAGGCGCGUGGAAUUGCAGGUGUAGCGGUGAAAUGCGUAGAUAUCUGCAGGAACACCCGUGGCGAAAGCGGCGCGCUGGACCUCUUCUGACGCUGAGGCGCGAAAGCCAGGGGAGCAAACGGG